rnacentral:lncRNA from 1 species
UGGUGUUGCUGGUUGCAACCAGACUUGAUCUCCAGCAAAGCAUCUCAUGUCCACCGCAAAACGUUUGCGGUAUAUGAUCCUUAUCCAAUAGGGUCCACGGAGUACUACAGAGACAUCAAUGGGUAAGAGAGAGCUGGGAACGAUUCCAGGUCCGCUUCUCCCUGCAGCUCCAUGGAAACUUCCACCGAGUGGACUUGGAGCAGGAGAAGGAGAAGCAACAGCACUCCCUGAGGCAGACUGGCCAACAGCAUUUGGAGCUGCUAAAGUUGAAGGUUGAGUUUGUUGCGUCUGAUUUGAUUGUCUGGAAGUCGCUGUAGCAGGUACGACAGUCACGCCAGUGGCUGAACUAGCUCGGGCAGGGCGAGUAGCAGCAGCUAACGCAGUCAAAGGCCCAGCAGUAAGGCGAAUGCAAUCCAGAAGAGAUUCUACCUCUCCACCAUUUAUGAAAUCCUCCAAGAACUGUACAAGAAUAACCCACAAUAAGCAAAAUUAUAUAUAUAGAGUAAAAACUCUAUAAAUUAAUAAUGUUGGACUAUGGUAUUUUAUUAAUUUACAAAAAGUUUCCUUUUUAGAUUUUUUCUUUUUAAAAUAUAUUUUUCCAAAAUAUUUUCAUGUAUAUACAUUAAUUAAAAGUUUGGAAUUUGACAUUCAUAUUGUUUUUAUUAUAUUAUUUGGUGUAUAUAAUAUGUUUUAUAGAACUUAAAUGUGGUUUUAGAUAUAAUUUUACUAAAUCUCAUCAAAAUAUAUUAAAUGUUAAUAAAAUAUUAAGAUCAUUCCAUUGUUAAUAUAAAAAAAACAAUAAAUGGUUUGUUUUUACUUAUAUAAAAUGUAUAUAAGUAUAUAAAUAAUCAGUUCAUAAUUUUAAUGGGACCAUAUAUUUACAUAUGUUUUUUUAACUAUUCUUUUAUUAUUUUAUCGAUUUGUAUUAUAUUUUGAACCGGCCCAAUGGGACAGUAGAAAUUUAUUAAUUUAUGGUGUUUAUUAAUUUAUUAAUUUAUGGUAUUUAUUAAUUUGGGAGUACUAAUUUAUAGAAUUCUAUUGUACAUACCUCUUAAGAGUAAAAAGUAAUUCCUAUGAAAUACUCACCUUGGUAUGUGGCCAGUGUUGGUCAGGAGAGACGUGCAUGGUGCAUUCAUCUUUACCUGAUUCCCACUCCACAACAAAACGAGCCAAAAUGCCCGAACCAAAGCUAAACCACAGGCUCGUCAAUCCCACUGCCUCAAUCUUGAAAGCCCUCCAUCUAUCAACCGCCUCCCCACCGCCUUUCCCUCCAGCAGGUCCUUUAACAGCGUGAUUAGCACCAAGGGUCCACGGAGUACUACAGAGACAUCAAUGGGUAAGAGAGAGCUGGGAACGAUUCCAGGUCCGCUUCUCCCUGCAGCUCCAUGGAAACUUCCACCGAGUGGACUUGGAGCAGGAGAAGGAGAAGCAACAGCACUCCCUGAGGCAGACUGGCCAACAGCAUUUGGAGCUGCUAAAGUUGAAGGUUGAGUUUGUUGCGUCUGAUUUGAUUGUCUGGAAGUCGCUGUAGCAGGUACGACAGUCACGCCAGUGGCUGAACUAGCUCGGGCAGGGCGAGUAGCAGCAGCUAACGCAGUCAAAGGCCCAGCAGUAAGGCGAAUGCAAUCCAGAAGAGAUUCUACCUCUCCACCAUUUAUGAAAUCCUCCAAGAACUGUACAAGAAUAACCCACAAUAAGCAAAAUUAUAUAUAUAGAGUAAAAACUCUAUAAAUUAAUAAUGUUGGACUAUGGUAUUUUAUUAAUUUACAAAAAGUUUCCUUUUUAGAUUUUUUCUUUUUAAAAUAUAUUUUUCCAAAAUAUUUUCAUGUAUAUACAUUAAUUAAAAGUUUGGAAUUUGACAUUCAUAUUGUUUUUAUUAUAUUAUUUGGUGUAUAUAAUAUGUUUUAUAGAACUUAAAUGUGGUUUUAGAUAUAAUUUUACUAAAUCUCAUCAAAAUAUAUUAAAUGUUAAUAAAAUAUUAAGAUCAUUCCAUUGUUAAUAUAAAAAAAACAAUAAAUGGUUUGUUUUUACUUAUAUAAAAUGUAUAUAAGUAUAUAAAUAAUCAGUUCAUAAUUUUAAUGGGACCAUAUAUUUACAUAUGUUUUUUUAACUAUUCUUUUAUUAUUUUAUCGAUUUGUAUUAUAUUUUGAACCGGCCCAAUGGGACAGUAGAAAUUUAUUAAUUUAUGGUGUUUAUUAAUUUAUUAAUUUAUGGUAUUUAUUAAUUUGGGAGUACUAAUUUAUAGAAUUCUAUUGUACAUACCUCUUAAGAGUAAAAAGUAAUUCCUAUGAAAUACUCACCUUGGUAUGUGGCCAGUGUUGGUCAGGAGAGACGUGCAUGGUGCAUUCAUCUUUACCUGAUUCCCACUCCACAACAAAACGAGCCAAAAUGCCCGAACCAAAGCUAAACCACAGGCUCGUCAAUCCCACUGCCUCAAUCUUGAAAGCCCUCCAUCUAUCAACCGCCUCCCCACCGCCUUUCCCUCCAGCAGGUCCUUUAACAGCGUGAUUAGCACCACCAGGCUCUUCUGUUUUCUCAUCCGCCUUUAUGCCAAGUAGUUUCCGCAUGCCAAGGGAGAACCUUCUAGCAUUAGAAAGCCUCUGUAUAUCGGCCACAAGCUUCUUGAUACUAUCUGCUUCCACGGACUGAUAGGUCAGAACAACGCCUUCAGGGUCAUAACGGAUAUGUGAAUCAACGUCAGACGAAUUAGCAAUGUGGACUCCGGAUCCCCACGGUGUUGAUUUGCUUCCCUUCUGAAGCUCCCAGAGAUCCCUGAAGUGCUGGUCGUUUAUUUUCACAUCCCAACACAUGCUCCCGGGUCUACCGAGCUGCAAGCAUAUAUGUUGCCAGGAAUCAUUCUGAGCAAACGGAAGACGGAACCAUAUGUCUGAAAACGAAUCUCUCAGUCCCAUCUCCUCAACGUAUUGGAUGUCCAGCGCCUCCAUCUGGCUAGUUAGCUUGGCGUGCUUUAUGGACAGAGAAGAGUGCCUGACCACGUGGAGAAGAGCGUAGACGAAAACGCUUGACGGUGCGUUCCCUUUGUUUGCUUCAGCUAUGAGAUCCCCAUAGCUGCAUCCAAUAGCUUUUGUUGAUGUUACCACUGCAGUAGAUAGGGCCUGUGAUGCAGAGGUUUUACUUCUCUUAUUGGGAUGAGUUACACCUUCCACUACUUGUAGAGAUGGGAUCAAUCUUAGCAAAUCUGAAGCUGAGCGUUUCCGUGACUUCUGGUCUUUUCUCAACAAAGGACCAUCAGAGGUAACUGCAAGAUCAGCUGACUCAGAGACAACAGUUAGGGAUGGAGACAAUACCAUGGACAACUCUUUGUUAGAGUUCUUCUUCAUAGCUGAACCCUUCCCAGGGGGAGGAGAUGACAACAGAUUAAAAGAGCUAGAUUCCAAAGGGCCUUGCGUACUGUAGAAGGAAUCAGAUUGAUAGCUAGUCAACAGCAGAGCUUUUCCAUCAGCGGAUGACGUCACUUUCUGAUGUCCAAACACUUCAUCAACGAUGCUAGAGAAACUCAACUGGCCUCCACUCAUCUCCGCCAAAGACUCCUCAACUAAUCCAGGACCACGGUGUCCAGACGCUUGACUCAAGCUCCUCUCAGCGUCUGAGAACGAAGACACAAAUCUAGCUACAUCGGAUGUAAUCAAGUUGAGAUCAUCUUCAAGAAUCCGUAUCUGCCCAAUAUCAAUCUUCUUAACACGCAGAACGUUGCUCAGAUCGUUGAGAAACUGAGGCUUCCCCGAACCGUCCGUUUGAGUUUCCGCUAGUUUAAACAACGGCGUGAAGUCCUUUUCGAGCUCCAUGAGCAAGAGGUGAGAGCUUUCACAGUCAGGGAAUCCCAGAGCCAGGAUGCUUGGCCCAUCAGAGAGGCUUUUGGGGGCUUUGUUUACACCAAAACCAUGUUCGUAGACCUGCAUUAAACCAAAAACGGUCAGAAACUGAGCUUGAACAAAAAGCUGAAGCACACAGUUACUUACCUCAAGACCCAAGAAUUUGCCAAUGGCGGCAAAAAAAUGCAAAAUGCUUUUGCUUCUCAGGUUGAUAAAGGCAUCAACAGCAGAUAUGCUUCCUUGGUUUAACGCAUCUUCAAAUUCAACCAAGAUGGAGGGGGUCAAGACACUCUUGGAUGACUGAAGAAGAAACUUACCGGUCCUGCAAUCAUUAAUGUAAAAUGAGAAACGCCAGGCUAGAUAAAAUCUCUCUCUAUAUGUAAAUAAAAGAAAAUAUUAUACCUUAUAUUGAUCCCAAGUGUGAAAAAUGAUGAUCCAUAGGCUCGGACUCGUAAUACCUCUGGCUCUAUUUGUUCCUUAGAAUCUACCAUGCUACCUCCCUGAAAGAAAGAAGAAAGAAGAAUAACCAAAUUAAACUCAAUUAAAUAAAUAUUGAGAAUACCAAUAGCAUACUAACUCCACAGCUACAAGAAAGCUAGGGGAAAAUCACUAUUCUUAACAAUUACAAUUGCGUCAAAACAAAUACAGAUUAUUAUAUUCUUUUUACCUCACUGCCAGGCUCAUCCAGGAAGGCCUGAAGGAUAACAUCACUAGGAGCUCGACAAAUCCUGUCACUCCUCAAAAGCUCUUUCUGAAUCUCAAGAAGACGUGUGUAUCUAUUACAGCAAAUAGCUUUAAGCAGAAGCUUCUCCACGUCAAUGCAGCUCUGAUCCAGAGAAAACUCAGCUUCCUUGCCGGUCAGAGGGUCAAUCACAAACGUGCUGUGAGAACACUUAAUCUGAAGAUCUGACACCGGCUCGAUUUUAACGAACGAGCCAGCAUUGUUUUUAUCAGAAUCUAGCCAGUAUAUUAGCUUCACUCCUGGCGUUUUGAGACUGACGGAAUCCGCCUCUCCUUCUUGGUUUGCUGGUGCUGUGCCGGUGUCCGAGAUCAAGUCAAAGCGAAUCGCAUCUUUCCAUCUCCCGUGGAGAAGCGUUCGCACCUGCCUUAUGACUGUGUCCAUGACAAUGGCGACGCAAAGCUCAUGGAGCACCGCAUAUAGUAUAGUGAAUGGAUUCUCUGCAACUGACAUUCUCCGCUCUAGAUCAUCGCCGAGGAUAUGCCGUCUUGUCACCUCGAGUUUAAUCGGACCGCCGCUUCUCUCACCAACAAGGAGAUCCAAAUGCAGUAUCCUCCACAUGGACAGGUGUCCUCGGUAACCGAGAGUCACCAGAACCUUAAACUCCCCUUCGACGGAUAAGGUAACUGUGCCUUUAGAGACUUUCACCUCUGUGAUCUCUUUUGGAAGCGUGAUCUCGAGUAGCUUGGAGCGUACGAGCACCUCCAGCUUCCUUAGCGCUGGCUUCUGCUGCUGCUCGUCCAGAGAGCACUGCAUCCCCACAUCGUCUACGCACUUUGGGAGGCGCUGGUAAGAGCCUGUCAGCAAGACUUCGAUAGCGGAGGGGACGUCGUAGACGGGAGCACGAGCUUGCUGGAGACCUUCGUGCAUGAAGAAGAGUGAAUCCGCAGCUUGUGUGAAGCAUAUAUCGUGAGAUGAUAGUGUGCUCCCGACGUCCUGCAAGCGGUUUAUUAGAGGAACCUGCAGCCAAAGGUGAGUGAAUAAGAGGCUUAGUAAAUUUCUGAUUACUUUCUCCAUAAAGAUAGUAAACACAAACAAGUAACAAUAAUCAUAUGAAAUAUUAAUGGAACGUUGAUCUAAAGUAGCUGCCUAGGAAUUUCACAAAGACUGCAAACCUAGUUAAAAGUAGAGACUACACUAGUUAAAGAUAGUCUUAACAUUUCCUAAACUGAUUCACCAAUGAUAACAAUUGACCUGGUUCAAAUGUACUAAUCAGUAUUCUAAAGUUCAGUGAUAAUACAAAAACUGAACACAACCAAGGCAAAUAGCUCAGAUUUUUCAACAAUAUAUCCACAUUAGCCGAACUAAAAAGUAUAAAAGUUUGAUAAUCUUUUAUUUUAGUUGUUCAGAGAAGUAACAAAAAGCUGAGAACUUUAGCAAACACCAAGGCAGCUUAAUAUACCAGAGUAAUCAAAAGACAUAACUUCAUACAGUUGCAAUGAGAAACACAUAUGUCUGAGAGGCAUCAAUGGACUUGUUAGAGAACAAUAUAAGCUUUAGCAGACAAAACAACAACAAAAACCCCAUCAAAGUCAAACAAGAGCAGCUUCCAACUCCUUGGCUACCUGUCAGAUUCGGUUCUAAACCGUUUAACUCUUGAGCAACAUGCUCCAUGAUGAAAGGUCUGAACUGGGGACAUGGCAAGGAGCCUCCAAUAGAAGCACCACCCUUGGGUGGAGUUGCUGGUUGCAACCAGACUUGAUCUCCAGCAAAGCAUCUCAUGUCCACCGCAAAACGUUUGCGGUAUAUGAUCCUUAUCCAAUAGGGUCCACGGAGUACUACAGAGACAUCAAUGGGUAAGAGAGAGCUGGGAACGAUUCCAGGUCCGCUUCUCCCUGCAGCUCCAUGGAAACUUCCACCGAGUGGACUUGGAGCAGGAGAAGGAGAAGCAACAGCACUCCCUGAGGCAGACUGGCCAACAGCAUUUGGAGCUGCUAAAGUUGAAGGUUGAGUUUGUUGCGUCUGAUUUGAUUGUCUGGAAGUCGCUGUAGCAGGUACGACAGUCACGCCAGUGGCUGAACUAGCUCGGGCAGGGCGAGUAGCAGCAGCUAACGCAGUCAAAGGCCCAGCAGUAAGGCGAAUGCAAUCCAGAAGAGAUUCUACCUCUCCACCAUUUAU